rnacentral:sRNA from 1 species
UUGUGUCCCCACCCCCUCCGUUCGGGGAA